CUAGCGAGUUAAGUUUCCUUUGUGUGCGUCAAUAAACGGCAAACCACACAUACACACAUGCACACCCACCUGGUUUAAACCUAAGAGGAGAACAGAGAUUGCCUGUGCCUGUGUAUUUGCAUUCCAUUUAUAAUAAACCCCCAAAAGAA